rnacentral:lncRNA from 1 species
UUGUGAAAAGGGUGUAAUUGUUAAAAAUAGGUACAAACAUCAAAUAUAAACAAAAACCUAAACAAACACUUCUAUGUACAUAACGUCAUAAAAAUACUUGUUUUAUUUACCUCGCGCUGCCGUCCUUGUACUGCCGCGAACAGGAAAUUCUGGGAAUGGAGGACGGAGAGUUGAAUCGAUUCGUCUUCAACAAACCGAUCAGUGUGACAUCAAAACAUCGCGAGAACAACAGACAACUCCGUGUGCAUUUGAAUCCAUCUCGCGAUAUUGUAUCACUUCAGGUACGCGCCUACUGAUUCGUUGAUUCAAACGAGUUGUGAAUCAAGAAGCCUCUAAAGAUCCGAAUCAAACUGCAGCAGCACGCCACGAGGUUUUGCUCAGACUUUUGGGACGUUUGGAAUUGCUCCGUCUUGUCACCAUGUAACACAUAGCAGCAAGACCCAUGGGAUUUCAUCAGCCACUCACCAUCAGAGUCCUCAGUGGAAGCUGAGAAGAGCAGAAGAGGAAGCCAAGCAAGAGAUGCCAGAAAAAAAGGGGGAAGGAAAUAAUGUGUUAUUUUGCUGUUUGAGUAUAGGCAGGCGCAGUGGGUAGCACAAUCGCCUCACAGCAAGAAGGUCGCUGGUUCGAGCCUCGGCUGGGUCAGUUGGCAUUUCUGUGUGGAGUUUGCAUGUUCUCCCCAUGUUAGCGUGGGUUUCCUCCGGGUGCUCCCACAAGUCCAAAAAUAUGUGGUGACAUUGGGUAAGGUAAAAUUGUCCGUAGUGUAUGUGUGUGAAUGAGUAUGUAUGGAUGUUUCCCAGUGAUGGGUUGCAGCUGGGUGGCAACACGUUGGCACAGUAGGUAGUGCUGUUUCCUCACAUCAAAAAGGU